rnacentral:rRNA from 1 species
UACCGGCUGCUCGAGUGAUCGCCACUUUUACUGGGCUUCCAGCGUUCGUCGCUUGGUCGUUCCGUCUCUGGGGCCCUCUUUUGGCUCAACCCAACGGCGUCUCAGGGAACCUGGCGAUCUUGGCACCGGGAGAGGUAAGACGUACUUCGGGGGUAGGAGUGAAAUCUUGUAAUCCCCGAGGGACGACCGAUGGCGAAGGCAUCUUACCAGAACGGCUUCGACAGUGAGGGACGAAAGCUGGGGGAGCAAACAGG